AUUGAACGCUGGCGGCAGGCCUAACACAUGCAAGUCGAACGAGUGGCGGACGGGUGAGUAAUGUCUGGGAAACUGCCUGAUGGAGGGGGAAAACUAAUGGAAACGGUAGCUAAUACAGCAUACCAUCAGAUGUGCCCAGAGGGGAUUAGCUUGUGGGUGGGGUAACGGCUCACCAAGGCGACGCUCCCUAGCUGGUCUGAGAGGAUGACCAGCCACACUGGAACUGAGACACGGUCCAGCCUCCUACGGGAUGCAGCAGUGGGGAAUAUUGCACAAUGGGCGCAAGCCUGAUGCAGCCAUGCCGCGUGUAUGAAGAAGGCCUUCGGGUUGUAAAGUACUUUCAGCGGGGAGGCGUUACCCGCAGAAGAAGCACCGGCUAACUCCGUGCCAGCAGCCGCGGUAAUAC
rnacentral:rRNA from 1 species